UGGGUCGUAGCCAAGUGGUAAGGCAACAGGUUUUGAUCCUGUCAGGCGAAGGUUCGAAUCCUUCCGACCCAGCCA
rnacentral:tRNA from 1 species